UCUGAUCAGUCUUACCAGACUGUAUGUGUGCCUGAUCCCGUCUGAUCUUAGAUGCUAAGCAGGCUUGGGCCAGCUCAGUACUGGGCAGGGUGACCUCCUGGGAACAACCAGUGCCAUAAGCU
rnacentral:rRNA from 1 species